rnacentral:rRNA from 1 species
CCUACGGGAGGCAGCAGUAGGGAAUAUUGCGCAAUGGGGGAAACCCUGACGCAGCAACGCCGCGUGAGUGAGGAAGGUCUUCGGAUUGUAAAACUCUGUUCUUAGAGAAAAAUGAUUCAGGAGCUAAUAUCUCUUGGAAGUGAUGGUAUCUAAGGAGAAAGGACCGGCUAACUUCGUGCCAGCAGCCGCGGUAAU